rnacentral:rRNA from 1 species
ACGUAAGACCCCUGGAAGAACACCAGGUAGAUAGGCUCGGGGUGGAAGCGCGGCAACGUGUGGAGCUGACGAGUACUAAUCGGUCGAGGGCUUAUCCUAA